UCUAUUGAUGUAAUUUUUCCUCUUCCUUUUCUCAUAAAUAUCCAUUGUCUUUGUCUCCUAAUUAGAACACUAUUUGGGCUUUUGCCUGAAUCAAUGUUUUCCGAACAGCUAUGCUUUUGAUCUCAAAUAAAUGCCUGUUGCCUCUUACUUCAGCCUUUUAUAUUUAGGUUAACAAUACAAUGGAAUGUUAUUCAGCCAUAAAAAGGAAUGAAAUACUUAUUCAUGCUACAACAUGGAAGAACCUUGAAAACGUUUUGCUAAAGGUGACAUGCUGAGCCUGACAGGAGGAAGGCGUGCUCUGAUUGGGGUCAUAUGUCAAUCAGGGGGCGUGGCUAGCUGCCCUGAACGGGAAGACAGAGCAGUUCCCCAAGACCAAGGACUUGAAGGUUGGCAGGCUGCCUUCACUCUGCACUGGAGCUCAGCGUAGUCGCUAGGAUUGAAAAUGAACACAGCUCUGCUCAGAUGAAGAAACUGAGGCUGAGGAAGAGACUUGCUCCAUCACACAGUACUAAGCCCUGCAAAUAUGCAAAGAAUGGCAGGAAUGUCACACACCUGUGCGUGCUGUUGUCAGAGAGACCAGGCCUACAGAGAGACAGAGCAGUUGCUCAGGCACACAUAGGUGGGGUGGGCAUGGGGCGAGGGCCCUGGUGGCUUCCCUGUGAGGUGGCGGGAAGCCAGCAGAAAAUGGGAGGAAAAGUACUACAAAAAGCGCUAACUGGGGUAACUGAGCCAGGCAGGGCAGGAGCAGGGACAAACAUGGGGACAGGACCAUCCCUGCAGCAGGCAUCUGAAAUACGUGGGCGGACACCCUGGGCAGUGCGCGAGUGAUUUAGACCUGACAUUAGCUGAAGCUGAGGACUCUCCCAGACAGCGUUCAGUCAUGAAAGGAGCAGUGUCCCAGAGAGAAGUUCCCACCAGAGGCAAAGCAGAGGGGGCAGAAGCCGUGAUCACCCAAGUAAAGGAACAGCAGGCAGAGGUGACAUCACCAGCUCAGGACUGGCCUGCCAGGUGAUACCAGCACCGGGGGAUACCCACCCUGAGGGAUAGCAGGGGCCCUCCGCUCCUCUGAUCUCAGCCUCUCGCCAGGGCUGCUGGCAAGGGAACCAAGAAGCUCAGCGUGCAGUCUCAGCCAGGAGCACAGAGGAAGGUUUGAAAGCCACAUCUGGGUUCUGGGUAUCUCUCCACGCCUGACUGGCACUUGGUAACUUUAUCAGACAGAAGGACUUUAUGUAGGCAACCAUUUGUUGCUAAAACAUAUUAUUUUUACUUUUAUUGUAUUAUUUUUGCAGUAGCCUUCUAUUUAUGACAAGCGAUACUGGUCAUCCACUUAUGAUAGUGCCAUCAAGUUUCCCUGUUAAAUAAUUGCUUCAACUUAAAAAGGGGAGAAUGUAUUUAGAGGAAAAUUUGAUAUAGAUGGGAGGACCCACAGCGGCCCAGGGAGUGAAAGAGGUGAGACAAAGGGCCAACAGAAGCAGCAGGACACCUGCGCUUAUGACAGGAGAGGGCAGGGUGGAGGCUGGCCUGGCCAGGCGCUCCGGGAAGCACAGGGCCUGCUCCCUGGAAAAUGGACCCUGAAUCCAGCCAAGUUUCUAGAUCCAGUAUUCCAGCCACUUGGGGCAAAGGAUCGAGUCAAUGCCACCCCACGCCCACACUGCAUCAGUCUUAAGGACAAAGGACCUACUUCUCUGAGCUGAAAAGGCUUUAAAACAGAAGGGCGUGUAGACAGAAAAGGGGCCACAUAUUAAACCUGACAAGCUCAGGAGACUGAAAAUAACCACAUAGAAUGG